rnacentral:piRNA from 1 species
UAACUGUGCCAUAUAACUUCCCAUCAAGG